UAAGAGUUCUUGGGCACAUUCAGAGAGUC
rnacentral:piRNA from 1 species